rnacentral:rRNA from 1 species
AACGAACGCUGGCGGCAGGCCUAACACAUGCAAGUCGAGCGCCCCGCAAGGGGAGCGGCGGACGGGUGAGUAACGCGUGGGAACGUACCCUUUGCUACGGAAUAGCCUCGGGAAACUGGGAGUAAUACCGUAUGUGCCCUUCGGGGAAGGAUUUAUCGGCAAAGGAUCGGCCCGCGUUGGAUUAGGUAGUUGGUGGGGUAAUGGCCUACCAAGCCGACGAUCCAUAGCUGGUUUGAGAGGAUGAUCAGCCACACUGGGACUGAGACACGGCCCAGACUCCUACGGGAGGCAGCAGUGGGGAAUCUUAGACAAUGGGCGCAAGCCUGAUCUAGCCAUGCCGCGUGAGCGAUGAAGGCCUUAGGGGUUGUAAAAGCUCUUUCAGUGGGGAAGAUAAUGACUGUACCCACAGAAGAAGCCCCGGCUAACUCCGUGCCAGCAGCCGCGGUAAUGUCUGUACU